AGCAGCUAUAUCACGAUGCCUUCUGCGAUCUCUUCAUAUUGGGCCGUUUCUUGCUCGCGCAGUUGGCACCUGGCGUACGGAGAUGACGAACGGCGAAGGCGGACGGCGAUAGCACUCUUCACUCAAGAAGUCGUCUUGAUAACAAUCCGAUAAAAAGAAGCCCUUCUUCUCCAUCUUCGUACCCCAUUCGUUCUCCGACGACAUUUUGAAGCAUCGAGAAACCCUAGACUGAGAAGCUGACGACAAAAAAUUUCCACCGCUUUUCAUACUCCGCACGAGCCGCGCCGAGCCGACCCUUCCCCUCCCUCGCUCUUCUCUCUCGGGUCGGCUGCGUGGCUCCGCCUGCUUCCGCAACGCACCGCACCGUCCCACUCCUAGAGCCAGUGCCGCCGCCGCACGCAGGCAUUGUCGUCGCCUUCUGUCCCUCCAUCUCCGGCAACCCCCUUCCGCGCCUCUUUCCGGCAGCGACCGAGCAAGAGCCAGUUCGGACCCCUUUUCACAGCAGCGAACCCCUUUAGCAGUUGUGAGAAGCCAUUGCUUCUAGCUUCUGUACCUAUUCCUGCGUCCAGAACCUUGUUGCAGUCAGCAUAAGGUGUACGCCCCAUGAUCGUUUAGUCUUUCUAACUAUUUUUUUUUCCUUCUAAUUAUGGGUUUAUGUUUACUAGAUUGAAUCUCGGAGCAAUGAAGCUGGCCAAUUGAGAUAGAUUCUUACUCCCUUUUUUGGGGCGGGCAAUCUCUCUGAGAGUUGCGCAUUGUAGUCAAUUGGAGUUUUUAACAGUCACUAUAGGUCUUUGUGCUCUUAUUUUUGGGUCUUAUUUUUGGGUCAUCGUAUGUUGCCCAGGGCAUAAGGGGCAUGAUGGCGCGAUAUCUUGCUCACCAUGCUUAUUGCAGCAAGGUUCCAAACUCAGAUGGUGGCAACUAAUGAGGGUUGUGGUUUGCGCAAGACUUAAUCCAGUUCCUUAUGGCAUGACCUGUUGACAUCCAUGCGCCACCUGUGCCUACGCUCUAAGGCAGUGUUUUCCACAUUAACCCAAUCCUUUUCUGCUAAGACUCCCAUAGAAAUAUAUAUGACGUGAGCAAAUCUAAAGUACAAUGGUGUUUAUGUUAUUCAUGGCUGUAACCAAUUCUCCACGAGGUAAAAGAUUAUAUGACUAGUUAGAAACAAAAAUAAAUAGGAAUGUAGUUCCAAUAAAGGGAACCUAGGUGCCAUGUUUUUCUCCAAUUCUGGUUUUUUUCUCAAGUCUCGAAUAAAUUCAAGGAUAUAUUUCAAGAAAUUGGGAAUACAAGCUACGCACCCUUGUUCUGUGUUGAUUGGAUUGAGUUUGGUGUUUGGAUGUGUAGAUGAGGUUGAUGAUACCAAGAUGGACAAUUUGUUGCAGUGACUAUAAGUCAAAAUUAGUGAUAUUGUAGGAAUCACAUUAGUUGACUAUUUCCUUGGAAUAAGUGAAUGAAACUAUGAUGGGCAUCAGCAGUAAUGUUUUGAAGAUUUAAAAGAUUGAGAUGGAUUGUUGAUUGUACAAUUUUAUCUAAGAUUUGUAGAAUUCUAAGAUGUUGAUUGUGAGUUUUGGUGUGGAGAAGGUGCAAGGGGUAAAGAGAUCUUAGAAUUUAAUAGAAAUUGAUUUAGUAUUAUUGGUGUUAUAUACUGCUUCAUAGUGACAUUGGAGGAAUAAGAUCCAUUUAAUCUUUCCCUAACUAGUUGGGAGAAACAUGGAUUGUAGAAUAGUGUAUUUUUCUGAUAUUCUAUUAUGAUAUUUCCAUGGUAGUAAUUCAUCUUUGAUAACAAUGUUCUGGUUACGGUAAUGUUCUAUUGCAGUCCUCUUCUCUGCAACAAAGGAACAUUGGAGCUGCUUAAAUCAUCUAUUUGUGGUCAUCUUUCAAUAAACAAGUUCCUAACAAUUGAGACGAGAAUGGCUGUGUCAACAGCACAUUGUUCGCAACAUAACACAAUUGAAUAUGAGAUGGCUAUGGAAAUGGAGUCUUAGUGAAGAAUUAUGAGGCAGGAGUUUGAAAAUUUUGCACAAGGAACAAGCUGAUAAAUUGAAGUGAAGACGAGAUUCAAAGGCAAAUGAAAUGGCUAUUAAACCUCUGUCUCUUAUUGAUAUUUCCUAGUUUGGGUUUUCUCAGUAUCGUGUGCUGUUCAAAAAGUUGAAGGCGUGUUUAUUGCUCAGGGCAUGGCUGGAGCCUAAGAGCAAGGCACACUCAAAUCAAGGAAACGAUGCUAUGCAGUAGAAAGAUGGGAAACAAAAAAGUAAACAAGAGCCCAAUAAACUAAUUGUCUAAUAUGAAAGAGUAAGACUCUUAUACACACGUCUAUGGAUGUGAGUGGGAUUCAAAAGAUUGUUAAUGGUGACACUAACACUCGUUAUACACACAGUCAUUUCGACUU